AACAUUUCUUUUAGAAAAUAUUAAAAGUCUUACCUGCCCAGUGUGCUAAAUGUUAUAUAAAUGGCUGCGGUAUCCUAACUGCACUAAGGUAGCAUAAUUAAUUGUCUUCUGAUUGGUGACUUGAUUGAAUGGUGUAAUGAGGAAAAGUCUUUUUUGUUAUUAAUAGGAAAUUAUAUGUUCAGGUUAAAAUACCUUAUAUAAAAGGAAAGACGAGAAGACCCUGUUGAGUUUUCAGUUAAAAACUGUUAAAUGGGAAAUUUGGCUCUUAUCUAGAGCUUUUUUGAUCCUGAAUAAAAAAUUAUUUGGAUAUAGGAUAAAGUUACCACAGGGAUAACAGGACAAUAUUUAUUGAGAGUUCAAAUCGAAAUAAAUGGUUGUUACCUCGAUGUUGAAUCGAAAUUCCUCCGUGAUGCAGCAAUUACAGGAGUAGGUCUGUUCGACCUAUAAAAUUUCACGUGAUUUGAGUU
rnacentral:rRNA from 1 species